rnacentral:rRNA from 1 species
AUUGCACGCUGGCGGCAGGCCUAACACAUGCAAGUCGAACGAGUGGCGGACGGGUGAGUAAUGUAUGGGAAAAUGCCCGAUGGCGGGGGAUAACUACUGGAACCGGUAGCUAAUACCGCAUACCAUCGGAUGUGCCCAGAUGGGAUUAGGUAGUAGGGGGGGGAACGGCUCACCUAGGCGACGAUCCCUAGCUGUUCUGAGAGGAUGACCAGCCACACGGGAACUGAGACACGGUCCAGACUCCUACGGUAGGCAGCAGUGGGGAAUAUUGCACAAUGGGCGCAAGCCUGAUGCAGCCAUGCCGCGUGUAUGAAGAAGGCCUUCGGGUUGUAAAGUACUUUCAGCGAGGAGGCGUUACUCGCAGAAGAAGCACCGGCUAACUCCGUGCCAGCAGCCGCGGUAAUUC